UUUAACCAGGGCUACAGUCUUGCAUCUUCUCACUAUUAAGAUUGAGCUUCUUGUGAAAAACUUAAGUCAAUGGGAAGAAAGAAAGAAAAAUAAGAUUCAGCUUAUUGAUUUGUGAGAAUGUCUUAAAAUUUGCAGUGUGAGGGUGGACUAGCUUUUGCUAAGAGGGAAGUUUCAUGGGAGAAAGUAGGGAUCUAGGUAAGGUCAUUCCAGUGCUUGCAUGUACUCAGAUGCACAGUUCUAGAGGGCAAGGUGACCCUGGGUCAAUGGAUACCAAGGACAGAGACAGAAGAAAAGGGAAGGAGAAAUGGACCCUCUCAAGAUAUGCUUGACCUCUUUUUUUUUUUUUUUUUCUAUUUUGGCUAAAAGCCUCAAUGUAAAUCCUUGAGGGGAAAAUAGCCUCUGCUCCAUUUUCUUAUAUUUCUUUUUUUGUUUUGUUUUGUUUUGUUUUUUGAGAUGGAGUCUCGCUCUGUUGCCCAGGCUGGAGUGCAGUGGUGUGAUCUCGGCUCACUGCAACCUCCAUCUCCCGGGUUCAAGCGAUGUUCCUGUCUCAGCCUCCUGAGUAGCUGGGAUUACAGGCAUGUGCCACCAUGCACAGCUAAUUUUUUGUAUUUUUAGUAGAGAUGGGGUUUCACUAUGUUAGCCAGGAUGGUCUCGAUCUCCUGACCUCGUGAUCCGCCGGCCCGUGCCUCCCAAAGUGCUAGGAUUACAGGAGUGAGCCACCGCGCCUGGCCUCUUCUAUUUCUUUGACUGAGUUUUCAGGAUUUUCUCAGCAUCUGCUCUGUGCCAGACAUUGAUGUGUGGUUUACACUGUCCCUAAUCCUCGUAACUGCCCCAUGAGGGAGGGAUACAAUUUUCCCAUUUUGCAGAUGAAGACAGUGAAGAUCAGGGAGGUUGACCUCUGCGACGCAACAGGAUUUGUGACCGUAAGACCCAAGGUUAAAAGGCAGCCUUAAAAAAAAAAAAAGGCAGCCUUACCCAGUCCACAUUCUCCCAUUAUAUCAUCCUGCCUGACGUAAAAGAAAAAGACAAGGAGAUUUGAAGUACUGCCUACUUAUUAAAGGAGUUAAACAUUUCAUCUAGUGCAAUGGAUCGAAUAGUCUUUCCAUCUGGGAAGAUGGCCCCAUCACAGGCUCUUAGACCACCCCUCUGUCUGUUGCAGAGAAGCCAGAGUGAUGUGCGGUAUGUCAUUCCCCUCCAGCCUGCUACAGUUCUAUGUUGGCAAAAUAUAAGAUCAUUCCUCUCCCUCCAGAGAGCAAAAGGCAAAUGAGGCUAGUAGGUUUCUAAACUACAGUCUUAUAUGGCCUCGGAGUUCUCCCUUGCAUAAAUACACGCUGAUACGCUAAAUCAGAAGCCAAGAAGAGAAACUAUAAAUAGCCCCAGCUCCAGCCAGCAGAGGAAGCAGACCUGUAGUCAUGCCAACUAGUGC
rnacentral:lncRNA from 1 species